AUGGUGAUCCUUUGUGGUGGCCACCCUGCUCCUUCGGUUCAUUCUGAAUUUUUAUCUGGAUGGCUAUCACUCAACAGCACCAGAAUGCCUUACCAUUUGUGCUCAACCGAAAGGAACAUCAGAAAGCAAAACAGACAUCAGCAGGCGAUUACCUUCGCAAAAAGCACUUCACUACAAGAUUCAGUGGCCUCUGUAAAGCCAUCUCGUCUUCUGCCCACAGUGAAACCAAAAACAUUUCCCAAUAGCGUCCCUGAUGAGAUACUAUCAAAACUCAAAUUGGAAGAAUCUGAUGCCUUUUACAUGCUAGAGCUGUGGACAACUAGAGAACUUAGUUCCUCUUUGCUAGAUAAGAAUGCUGCGACCUUAAUCUACUUAAUCGAUGUUGACGGUGCCUCCUUGUUAAAAAGAGUACCAGCAAUCUAUGGGGACCAACCUGCACAUGGCACCACGCCCUUACAAUUCCUUCCUUUUCAAAGUGGUUCAGUUGAUAUCAUCACCUUUAAAGGUCCCAAAUUGCAGACAAUCAAAGAAAUCUGGAUCGGCCUUGAACCAGAUCAGGUUCAUGGAGAUUAG
rnacentral:rRNA from 1 species